rnacentral:rRNA from 1 species
GACGAACGCUGGCGGCGUGCUUAACACAUGCAAGUCGAACGGAAAGGCCCUGCUUGCAGGGUACUCGAGUGGCGAACGGGUGAGUAACACGUGGGUGAUCUGCCCUGCACUUCGGGAUAAGCCUGGGAAACUGGGUCUAAUACCGGAUAGGAGCCAUUUUUAGUGUGAUGGUUGGAAAGUUUUUUCGGUGUAGGAUGAGCUCGCGGCCUAUCAGCUUGUUGGUGGGGUAAUGGCCUACCAAGGCGGCGACGGGUAGCCGGCCUGAAAGGGUGGACGGCCACAUUGGGACUGAGAGACGGCCCAGACUCCUACGGGAGGCAGCAGUGGGGAAUAUUGCACAAUGGGCGCAAGCCGGAUGCAGCGACGCCGCGUGGGGGAUGACGGCCUUCGGGUUGUAAACUCCUUUCGCUAGGGACGAAGCUUUUUGUGACGGUACCUAGAUAAGAAGCACCGGCUAACUACGUG